UACGGGAGGCAGCAGUGGGGAAUAUUGCACAAUGGGCGCAAGCCUUGAUGCAGCCAUGCCGCGUGUAUGAAGAAGGCCUUCGGGUUGUAAAGUACUUUCAGCAGUGAGGAAGGUGGAUAUGUUAAUAGCAUAUUCAUUUGACGUUAGCUGCAGAAGAAGCACCGGCUAACUCCGUGCCAGCAGCCGCGGUAAUACGGAGGGUGCGAGCGUUAAUCGGAAUUACUGGGCGUAAAGCGCAUGCAGGUGGUUUGUUAAGUCAGAUGUGAAAGCCCGGGGCUCAACCUCGGAAUUGCAUUUGAAACUGGCAAACUAGAGUACUGUAGAGGGGGUAGAAUUUCAGGUGUAGCGGUGAAAUGCGUAGAGAUCUGAAGGAAUACCGGUGGCGAAGGCGGCCCCCUGGACAGAUACUGACACUCAGAUGCGAAAGCGUGGGGAAGCAAACAGGAUUAGAUACCCUGGUAG
rnacentral:rRNA from 1 species